rnacentral:rRNA from 1 species
UACGGAGGGGGCUAGCGUUGUUCGGAAUUACUGGGCGUAAAGCGCACGUAGGCGGCUUUGUAAGUUAGAGGUGAAAGCCCGGGGCUCAACCCCGGAAUUGCCUUUAAGACUGCAUCGCUUGAACGUCGGAGAGGUGAGUGGAAUUCCGAGUGUAGAGGUGAAAUUCGUAGAUAUUCGGAAGAACACCAGUGGCGAAGGCGGCUCACUGGACGACUGUUGACGC